rnacentral:lncRNA from 1 species
UCUGGAAUCUGGUAUCGAAUCCGGAGGGCACGUAUUUCAGAUUCUGUGACGGUGGAUGCAAUGUUCGCAUGAGGAAAUUGUUCCCCAUCCUUGAAGAAAUCAGUAGGAAAUGGGGGAUUUGAACUCGAACCCUCUUGGUUAGGGUUUGAGUGGGAGAAAACUGGAGAAGUCUGGUUUGGAUUCACCAUUGUUGAGGUUUCGAAAGCUAGAGAGAGAAUUUUUGAGAAGGAGAAGAAAGCUCAAAGGUUCGAAUUUCAAAUUAGC